AUGUAGCAGAAAUGGCGCAUUAUUCUAGUCGAUAUAAUAUUAUGAAGACGAGGGUAAAAUAUCGUUAAAAGGCACAUCUAUGAAACGUUUGGUGCUUGCUUUAUACGCCCAGUAUAGGGUGGGUGCUGAAUUUGAAGAGUUUAUGGACGACCGUAACGGCAUACGGCAACCGGACCAUUUAUUCGUGGAGACCUAUACUCGUGAAUCAAAUUAAAUUUUCUUUUACGACUUAGGCGUGAACCUACCUUGUGGCUAAAGCUAUGGGUAGAGUAGCCUGGCUUGCGUGAUAAAAAGGGGAUAGAGACAGCUUAUCUAAAGGUGUACAUCUUUAAAUAUAGUAUUGCUACUUGAAACUUUUAUUGCAAAAAAGCAUUAGUAAUAUUUCUAUUGUUUGAGGAAAACUCCUAGAGUGUAGAUUGUUAUAGGAUUGCAGUGUGCACUAAGUGGCUAUCAAGUAAUAGAAUAGGUAACUUUCUAUUUAAUUUCUUAAUAGGGAACUACUUAAUUGGUAACGAUUAAGUGAAAUUAAGGGAAAUCCAACUUGACCUAAAGGUACAAGGUUUACUAUAUCAAUUGCCAUUUCCUAUUUUUA
rnacentral:sRNA from 1 species